GUCGCAGCUAAGUAUUGCCUGGACUAUUCGUGGGUUUGCUUCAGGCAAAUGGCCGCCAGAGAGCUAGCGUUCGGUUCCAUUCAAAUGAAGGGAAAGUCCCGAACCAAGGGGCACCCAGAGAAAGCUGCUAUUGACGGCUGGGCAUGGUAACUCCCAAACGUUGUCUCUGACCUGGACCAUAGUCAGUGGGCAGGAGGCUAGCUUCCACACUCAUCCAGGAGUCCAUGGAAAACAUAUGUGGGAAGGAGCAUUUGUCACAUGUAUAAAGGACAAAGUUCUAGAAUGUUGACCCCACUUUUAGAAUCAUGUCCCAAUUGUUCCAUGGGAAAAGCAGCAUACAGGCUGAUUUGGUACCCACCAAGCACAUUGCACCAUCACACUCCACGUAUAGAUUAAAUGUUUUAAUCUAUACGACACUGUACUUUCCCACCUCUUCCCAGAUGGUUCUGAGAAACCAGUGGCCUUUGCCUCAAGAUCCUUGACAAAGACAGAAAGCAAUUAUGCCCAAAGUAAUAAAGAGGGACUAGCAUUGAUAUGGGCAAUUCAGUUUCAUCUUUACCUCUAUGGCAGAGAGUUUACCAUAUUAACGGAUCAUAAACCACUUCUUCAGAUUUUUAACCAUGACAAAGGGAUCUCCCAAACAACUGCAACCAGUCUCCAACGCUAUGCCCUUGUCAGGAUUACUAGUUGAUCCAGCACAUAGAAUUAUGUCACACCUAAGACUAAAGGUAACGUCUUACCGGGCCUUAGAGUGGUCAGGGACACAGAAGGAGACACAACGAUGAGGGAAAGCCAAAAGUCAGGGAUACAUGGAAGGCAAACGAAGCCAAAGUCAAUAACCAGAAAUAAAUGCUGAGGAACACACUCUUGGACAACCACUAAGGGAAACCACGACAGGGCAAUGAGGAAAGGGCAAAAGGAGUUUAAAUAAGCCUCCCUUAGAUCCGAUUGGCCGUACCCGGCCUUUGACCCCAGAACAUGCAUGCACGUCCUUUACGUGACGUCACACACACACGACAACGUCGUCAAUACCGUGGGCGGACGCAGGAUUACAAAUUGGUAUGGAUCCGCAGCGGCCGGCGUCCACCAACAUGCUGCAGGAGUCAGAUACAUUGACGCAUGGAUGCUGAAGGGCACUACCGCAUUUGUUAGUAAGGCAAUUACUGCAGAUACUGCAAGGUGAGGAUGAAUAUGUUACAGCCCUUGGUAAAACUACUAAGCCUCAUCUUUGAAGCAAAC